rnacentral:rRNA from 1 species
UCGGGAAUUUUGGGCAAUGGGGGAAAGCCUGAUCCAGCAAUGCCGCGUGAGUGAAGAAGGCCUUCGGGUUGUAAAGCUCUUUUGUCAGGGAAGAAACGGUGAGAGCUAAUAUCUCUUGCUAAUGACGGUACCUGAAGAAUAAGCACCGGCUAACUACGUGCCAGCAGCCGCGGUAAUACGUAGGGUGCAAGCGUUAAUCGGAAUUACUGGGCGUAAAGCGUGCGCAGGCGGUUUUGUAAGUCUGAUGUGAAAUCCCCGGGCUCAACCUGGGAAUUGCAUUGGAGACUGCCAGACUAGAGUGUAGCAGAGGGGGUAGAAUUCCACGUGUAGCAGUGAAAUGCGUAGAUAUGUGGAGGAAUACCGAUGGCGAAGGCAGCCCCCUGGGCUAACACUGACGCUCAUGCACGAAAGCGUGGGGAGCAAACAGGAUUAGAUACCCAAGUAGUCCCUGAGCGGGCUGGCAAGGCGCAU